rnacentral:misc_RNA from 1 species
GAUGAAGAACGUAGCGAAAUGCGAUAAGUAAUGUGAAUUGCAGAAUUCAGUGAAUCAUCGAAUCUUUGAACGCACCUUGCGCCCUUUGGCCAUUCCGAAGGGCAUGCCUGUUUGAGUAUCAUGAACACCUCAACUCUCAUGGCUUGCCAUGAUGAGCUUGGACUUUGGGGGUCUUGCUGGCCUGUGGUCGGCUCCUCUCAAAUGAAUCAGCUUGCCAGUGUUUGGUGGCAUCACAAGUGUGAUAACUAUCUUCGCUCGUGGUUUCCAUCAGAUAACCUCCAGUGAUGGAGGUUCGCUGGAGCUCAUAAAUGUCUCUCCUAAGCGAGGACAGCUCUUUUAAUGUUUGAUCUCAAAUCAGGUAGGACUACCCGCUGAACUUAAGCAUAUCAAUAAGCGGAGGA